rnacentral:rRNA from 1 species
GAUUGCCGAAAGACAAACUGCUGCGAAAGCGUCUGCCAAGGAUGUUUUCAUUGAUCAAGAACGAAAGUAAGGGGAUCGAAGACGAUCAGAUACCGUCGUAGUCUUUACUAUAAACGAUGAGGACUGGGGAUCGGGCGAGGAAUUACGAUGACCCGCCCGGCACCCUCCGGGAAACCAAAGUGUUUGCUUUCUGGGGGGAGUAUGGUCGCAAGGCUGAAACUUAAAGGAAUUGACGGAAGGGCAUCACCGGGUGUGGAGCCUGCGGCUUAAUUUGACUCAACACGGGAAAACUUACCAGGUCAGGACAUAGUGAGGAUUGACAGAUUGAGAGCUCUUUCUUGAUUCUAUGGUUGGUGGUGCAUGGCCGUUCUUAGUUGGUGGAGUGAUUUGUCUGGUUAAUUCCGUUAACGAGCGAGACCUGGGCGUGCUAAAUAGGGGCUAUUACCAUUUUGGUAGUACGUUUCUCCUUCUUAGACGGACUGUGGGCGUCUAGUCCACGGAAGCUCCAGGCAAUAACAGGUCUGAGAUGCCCUUAGAUGUUCUGGGCCGCACGCGUGCUACACUGAGUGGAUCAGCGGGUCAGGUUGCACGAGAGUGUUUCCUAAUCUUUAAAUCCGCUCGUGAUGGGGAUUGACGGUUGCAAUUUUCCGUCAUGAACGAGGAAUACCUUGUAAGCGCGGGUCAUCAUCCCGCGCUGAAUACGUCCCUGCCCUUUGUACACACCGCCCGUCGCUCCUACCGAUUGAGUGGUCCGGUGAGGCUUUCGGAUUGCGUGAAGAAAGAGCGUGUACCGCUCGUUCGCAUGUGAGAAGUCAGUCGAACCUUAUCAUUUAGAGGAAGGAG